UUUUAGAAUAGGGAGCAGGUAUCAGGCACGCUCUUGCAGCCUAAAACACCUUGCUCAGCCACACCCCCAAGGGAUUUCAGCAGUGAUUAAUAUUAGUAAAUAAACGAAAGUUUGAUUUAGUUAUAGUUACACAAAGUCGGCCAAUCUCGUGCCAGCCGCCGCGGUUAUACGAGUGACAUAAAUUAAUAAAAUAACGGCGUAAAGAGUGUAUAAGAAAAAUCUUUUAUUAUUAAAAUAAAAAUUAAUGCUUAACUGUUAUACGUUCCCGCAUUAAUGAAAAACAAUUACGAAAGUAAUUUUAUAAAAACAAGACCCCUUAAAACACGACAGCUAAAAAACAAACUGGGAUUAGAUACCCCAUUAUGUUUAGCCUUAAACCUAGGUGUUUUCUAACCUAAACACCCGCCAGAGAACUACAAGCGCUAGCUUAAAACCCAAAGGACUUGGCGGUGCCUUAGAUCCCCCUAGAGGAGCUUGUCCUAGAACCGAUAAUCCCCGUUUAACCUCACCAUUUCUUGCUAUUACAGCCUAUAUACCGCCGUUGUCAGCUUGCCUCAUGAGAGACACAUAGCAAACAUAAAGAACUUUCUUCAAAACAUCAGGUCGAGGUGUAGCUUAUGAAAUGGGAAGAAAUGAGCUACAUUUUCUAACAAGAUAAACAGAUAAACAAUGAAACUAUAAUUGAAGUUGGAUUUAGCAGUAAGAUAUAAAUAGUAUAUUAAUCUG
rnacentral:rRNA from 1 species